rnacentral:rRNA from 1 species
AGAAGCACCGGCUAAUUCCGUGCCAGCAGCCGCGGUAAUACGGAAGGUGCGAGCGUUAAUCGGAAUAACUGGGCGUAAAGCGCGCGUAGGUGGUUAAGUCAGUCAGAUGUGAAAGCCCCGGGCUUAACCUGGGAACUGCACCUGAUACUGCUUGACUAGAGUACGGUAGAGGGCAGUGGAAUUUCCUGUGUAGCGGUGAAAUGCGUAGAUAUAGGAAGGAACACCAGUGGCGAAGGCGACUGCCUGGAUUGAUACUGACACUGAGGUGCGAAAGCGUGGGUAGCAAACAGGAUUAGAUACCCUGGUAGUCCACGCCGUAAACGAUGUCGACUAGCCGUUGGGAGACUUGC